AUGGGAUCCUGGAGGCCUGGCUGUUGUCCAGCUAGGGUUGUUUUUCCUUCUAGUAAAGCAUUAACAUUAGGACAGUUGGGAGUUACCUGGGGGACUGUUACACUCUGCCUUUCUCAGGUCCUCCUCAAUGGACUGCAGGUGGUAAAGAAAUUUAAUUUUGUUUCCUUUCCCUGCUGCCUCGGUCUCCCACAUCACUCAUGGAGGGGUGCUGAACAGCAUUAUUCACAGUGGCUAAAACACGGAAGCAACCCAAAGGUCCAUUGACGGAUGAAUGAAUAAGCAAAUUGCGGUAUAUACGUGGGAUGGAAUGGACUGGAAUGUCCAGCGGUCUUAAAAAGAAAGGCAACUCCAGCACAUGCUACGACAGUGGCGAACAUGGAAGAUAUUGUGCUAACUGGAAGGAGCCAGUAAUGAAAGGACAGAUACAGUAUUAUAUUACUCCUCUUCGAUCAGGUAUCUAGAAGAGUCAGAUUCACAGAGAUGAAAAAUAGAAUGGUGGCUACCAGAGGCUGGGGGGAGGGGGAAGUGGGGAGUUAUUGCUUCAUACGCAAAGUUUCAGUUUGCGAUGAUGAGAUAAUUCUGUUGUUGGAUGGCGGUGAUGGUUACACAACAGUGUAAAUCUAUUUAAUGCCACUGACUUGUACACUUAAAAUGGUUAAAAUGGGGAAAAAAGGGGAAUGAAUUUGUUAAAAAGGAAAAUGUCAUGUGUAUUCUACCACAGUAAAAAAUGUAAACAAGCUUUCUUUAAAAAGAUUUUAUUCAGGGGCACACCUAAGUGGCUCAGUCAGUUAGGCAUCUGCCUUUGGCUCGGGUCAUGAUCCUGGGAUCCUGGGAUCGAGCCCGGCAUUGGGCUCUCUGCUCAGCAGGAAGUCUGUUGCGCCCUCUAACCCUCCCCCAACUCAUGCUCUCUCUCUCUCUCUCAAAUAAAUAAAUCUUUUUAAAAAGAUGUUAUUCAUUUAUUUGAAUUUGAGAGAGAUAGAGAGAGCAUGAGCAGGGGAGAUAGGAAGAAGCAGGCUCCUCGAGCAGGAAGCCUGAUGUGGGGCUCAGUCCCAGGACUCUGGGAUCAUGACCAGAGCAGAAGGCCAACGCUUAACUGACUGUGCCCCCUAAACAAGUUUUAAAGUACAAAAAUGUCUGAAGUCUUGCAAUACAUGAGUAAAAGGGUUGCAUUAAAUAGUUAAUGAGUCAUUCCUUUUUAUUGCAAAAUGAUGGUUCUUUGUAUGGAUACACCACCUGGAAAACAUGAGGCUAAGUGAAAGAAGCCAAAUAUCACAAAAGAUCACAUAUUGUCCAAUUCUACUUACAUGAGAUGUCCAGAGGAGACACAUCUAUAGAGAGAAAAACUAGUUGAAUGGUUGCCUAGGGCUAGGCAGAGACAUGGGAGGGAAAGAGACAUGAGAGCUAAUGGUGUUAAUGGACCCAAGGGUUUUGGGGGCAGGUGAUAAAAAUGUUUUAAAUUGAUCACAGUGAUGAUCAUGCAACACAACAGAUGUACUGAAAGUCACUGAAUUCAAUUUAAAUGAAUGGAUUAUAUCUCAAUAAUACUGUUGUUAACAAAAAGGGUAGCAAAACCCAAAAUAAUAGAACGACUCUCUAGAGGAAUGGCUUUGUUAAUUGACCUCGGAAAUUAAACUUUGAUACUUCAGUGUGGGAAAGUUGAUGGGUUUUUGUAUUUCUUUUCCAUCAUUCAGUAAAUAUUUAUUGAAAACUUUCUGUGGGAAGAUAACACUAUUGAAGGUACAGAGCAAUCUACAAAAAAAAAAAAAACUGUUUUAAAAUAUGGUGUCUUCUGGGGGCACCUGGAUGGCUCAGUUGGUUAAGCAUCUGCCUUCUACUUGGGUCAUGAUCCCGGAAUCCCGGGAUUGAGCCCCAUAUUGGGCUCCCUUCUCAGUGCGGAGUCUGCUUCUCCCUGUCCCUCUAACACUCCCCCCUGCUUGUGUGCUCUCUCUCUCUCUCUCUCUAAUAAAUAAAUAAAAUUAAAAAAAAAUAUGGUGUCUGCAUAGAUCAAUGGAACAAAGAGCACAGUGGAUUAAUCUUUGACAAAGGAGGCAAUAAUAAAAAAUAG
ensembl:lincRNA